UACGUAGGCAGCGAGCGUUGUUCGGAGUUACUGGGCGUAAAGGGUGCGUAGGUGGUUGGGUAAGUCUGAUGUGAAAUCUCCGGGCUCAACCCGGAAAUGGCAUUGGAUACUAUUCGGCUAGAGGUUUGGAGGGGGGACUGGAAUUCUCGGUGUAGCAGUGAAAUGCGUAGAUAUCGAGAGGAACACCAGUGGCGAAGGCGAGUCCCUGGACAACACCUGACACUGAGGCACGAAAGCUAGGGGAGCAAACAGG
rnacentral:rRNA from 1 species